rnacentral:rRNA from 1 species
AGCAGCCGCGGUAAUUCCAGCUCCAAUAGCGUAUAUUAAAGUUGUUGCAGUUAAAAAGCUCGUAGUUGAAUUUUAGGCCUGGCCGGGCGGUCCGUCUUUGGCGAGUACUGUUCUGUGUCGGGUCUUACCUUCUGGUGAACCGGCAUGUUCUUUAUUGAGUGUACCGGGGAGCCAGGACCAUUACCUUGAAAAAUUAGAGUGUUUAAAGCAGGCAUUUGCUUGAAUAGAUUAGCAUGGAAUAAUAGAAUAGGACGUUGGUUCUAUUUUGUUGGUCUAGGACCACCGUAAUGAUUAAUAGGGAUAGUUGGGGGCAUUAGUAUUCAAUUGUCAGAGGUGAAAUUCUUGGAUUUAUUGAAGACUAACUAUUGCGAAAGCAUUUGCCAAGGAUGUUUUCAUUAAUCAAGAACGAAAGUUAGGGGAUCGAAGACGAUCAGAUACCGUCGUAGUCUUAACCAUAAACUAUGCCGACUAGGAAUCGGGCGGCGUUAUUUUUAUGACUCGCUCGGCGCCUU